GCAAACCUUCAGGAGUAACUGGUAUUGUCUUAUAAGGAGUUGAGGCUCACAGGCACUAGAACCUCUAACCAAACCACACCCAUGCAAAAUGAAGGAUCUCCAAGACAUUCCUGAUGGUUGAGAGGUGAAAUCUAACAGACAUCCGAUUCUACUUUCGUUUCUGUUGCUUCCUGACGAAAGCAACCCAGGGGAGAAAAAGUUCUGUUAGCUCACCCUUCUUUCAAAGAAGUCACGGUGGCACUUGAAACAGCUAGUUCCAGCUCAUCCUCCGUCAAGAGGAGCAGGAACCAAUGCGCAUGCCUAGUGCUCAGCUACCGUGCUCUUUCUCUGCAGUCCAGGGCACAGAGUCAAGCAUGGCUGCCACAUCUUCCCUUAGCAGUUCCAGGACAUCUGAUACUCUUCUGGCUUCCAUGGGCACUGCAUAUGUGACACACAGCCAAAAAGAUAAGUAAAAUGCAGCGGUGGCAACGGCGGCGGUGGCAGCAGUGGCCGCGGCAGCGGCGUUGGUGGUUGGCAGCAGCAGUUCUUUUUAAAGAACCUGAGUUUUAUCCCAGGACCCAUGUGGUAGAAUGAGAGAAUGGAUUCCCACAGUUUGUCCUUUCACCUCCACAUGUACAGAGUGAUCCUGUGCUACCAGAAGCAACUUAAAGAGAGAAGAGUUUAUUGGGCUCACAGUUCCCAGGGAUAUAGUCUGUCAUUCCAGGGAAGCUGUGGGGUAGGGGAUUGACAUGGUCUGUCAAUUGCACCCAUGGCCAGGAAAAAGAGAAGAAGGCUUUCUUUCUCUUUCUUGCUAAGUGUGGGACCCCAGCCCAUGAGAUGGCAUGGGCCACACUCAGGGGGUUCUUUUCCUUUCCAGUAAGCAUCGCCUGAAACACCCUAACACACCCCUGAAGAAAUCUGUUUCCACGCUCAUUCUAAGCCUGCUAACAAUGAAGAUGAACCUGUGGCCAUUUUGCAGACCGUGGCCCUGCUUUGCUCUCACAGUGGCGAACCUGAGCUCUCCCAGCACACAGAAUCCGCACGUGGGUAAAAGGAAUCUCCAACUGGGAGUUCUGAGUUCUGCCCCAGCAGUGCCCGCCUGAAACAUUUCUGAUGUACUCACACUUAUUGUUCCUGUUUGUGAAAUUGUAUUAAUACCCAAUAGCUAGGUUAUUGGGAUUGGAUUAA
rnacentral:lncRNA from 1 species